UGAGAGGGACUGCUGAAAAGUUUAGCCUGUUGCCUCGUGAAGUGACGUCAGAAUGACGUCACAUCGUCGCGAAAGAUUUGUUGUCACCAGCCAUCUUAGUUCAAGCUCACUCCGGACAUAUUACAAACUAAGUCGGUAAGUGAUUGUGCAGCAACUGGAACUGGGCAGAUGAUCUGUUAAUUCGGAUGAGCAAGGGGGAAAAUGUUACACGACCAUUCCAGGAGAUAAAAUCAAGAAUGUUGAAUCAUUGAGGAACACACCAAAUAAACCCUGGGCUGUGAAUUAUGUUAACGGAAGUGGAAGUGAACACCAAAGAGAGAAGAUUCUGGCAUUCAAUAAUUUCGAAAAGUGUAUAGAUUUUCAAUUAUCUAAAAAUAUUAAAAUAUCAACACAAAUGUGUCUUGGAGUUCUUUGUUGAAUGAUGCCGUCGCAUGACUGAAAGUUGAAGUAUACUAUUUGGACUUGAUUAGAGACCGACCAUUUAAUAUUCAAGGAGGUGGGGACCUGGAACUUUUCUAUUGAGAUUACAUGUUUUCGGUCACAGCUACAAAAGCAGAUAUGUGAUUUUAUU